rnacentral:rRNA from 1 species
CUACGGGGGGCUGCAGUGGGGAAUAUUGCACAGUGGGCGCAAGCCUGAUGCAGCCAUGCCGCGUGUAUGAAGAAGGCCUUCGGGUUGUAAAGUACUUUCAGCGGGGAGGAAGGGAGUAAAGUUAAUACCUUUGCUCAUUGACGUUACCCGCAGAAGAAGCACCGGCUAACUCCGUGCCAGCAGCCGCGGUAAUACGGAGGGUGCAAGCGUUAAUCGGAAUUACUGGGCGUAAAGCGCACGCAGGCGGUUUGUUAAGUCAGAUGUGAAAUCCCCGGGCUCAACCUGGGAACUGCAUCUGAUACUGGCAAGCUGGAGUCUCGUAGAGGGGGGUAGAAUUCCAGGUGUAGCGGUGGAAUGCGUAGAGAUCUGGAGGAAUACCGGUGGCGAAGGCGGCCCCCUGGACGAAGACUGACGCUCAGGUGCGAAAGCGUGGGGAGCAAACAGGAUUAGAUACCCUCGUAGUC